UAUCAAACAUUUCUAUAAGAUUGUUGCCAAGUUGUUAUUAGGUACGUUGCCCUGCCCACUGUAGAGGUCUACACCGUACACGGGGUGGAGGUGCGUUUCUUGAGGAGGGCCUCAAAGCUGUGGUCACCGGGCUACAAAUUAUGAGCCGCCCCCGCAACGGCUCCGGCAGCGAAGAUGAAGAUCGGUGGACGCCUUGCAGUCAAAUAAAGAAUGGAAACUAUCAAGACCUCCCGCGCUAGAGAGCGAGCUUGCCACAGACUUUCAAAAACUCAUCUCGAGGAUUAAGCCAGACCAAGACCACCAUAAACACUCACAGACCGUUAGGGCAAGGUUACGUGUGAACACCAGCUGUGACGUAUGCGCGUCCGAGACUUCGCUGCCACAAGCAACGUGUGCGACUUUUGUUUCCACUUGUUCUGCUCACUGCCGUCGCUGGAGUUGGCGUUAGUCUCAACAUCUAACGGACUUUCCCCCACCGAGGUUCUUCUGACCACAUCUGCCAGUACGGAGUGUAAGAUGACAGUGUGAUCAACGCACCAGCAUCCCAAUCUUUGUAAGAGGCGGACGACGAGACACCUGACACGAUGAGACUGAACGUGAUUCUCACCUGCCUGACGCUCUGUGUUCUGCACGGAGCCGUCAAAACAAGACGUCACUUCCUGUUUUCUUCUGCCAACCGUCCCUCGUCCACAAGAGCUUGGGGGAGCUCAGCCCUGCAGGCAUCCGAACUGUGGGAUGCCAUAAACUCGACAGAAGAAAAUCCUUCCGAUGUAGUCAGAUACCUCAUGGUUCUGCAGCCAGGCGACGGGUAUCCUUCUUGGGUCCAGCCCCAGGCACCGGAGACGCCAUUACUGGGGACAGUAUUUCCCGUGCCGUGGAAACGGUUGUUGCCAGCACCGAAGAUCGGCUUUUUGGAACUACUUUCUCGACAUCGGAGCCUUAAGCAGGUAGCAGCCAACAGUAUGCCCGAGCAGCCCAUGAUUGCUGCUGCCUCCUUCCGCAAGAGGGACAGAUAUAACUGUGAUCUUUCCCGCGUUUCCAUUCAGAUGAUUAUAGAGUACCUGAGAACAAGGAGAAUAUGCGGCUUCCGUGUGAACCAAAUGCGUUUCGCACUGGGAGGAAAGUAGAGAAACUUCAGGUCCACCAGUGAGAAGUCACGUCCACAAGAUGGCGUAUACACGGCAACAACAGAUGCACAUUGAACACCUAGUUCUUUUUUUAUUUUUAUUUAUUUUUUUUUUACCUGAGGGACGUUUUCAGUUUAGUGAAGAUUUCUCAACGAGCAGGCUUCACAGAUACUGGAAAGUAUAAAUUUGUUUUCAGUGAAUGGUAUAAUUUACUGAUUUGCUGUUAAAUCUUUAAAGGAAACUGCUUAGUACCUCCCCCAGAAAAAAAAUGGGCGAACAUUGCUGACAAUUAUUUUCGGUCUCUUUUCAGUGGUUUAUAAAUGUUGGAUGUUGACUUGUCUGCUUGCUGUUAAUCUUUGAUACCGCAAACAGGGUAGGCUACGAUAGCAUAUGUUUUAAUUUGGUGCAACAAUAACAACAACAACAACCAUUCCCAAUAUUUCUUAAUGAUAACGAGUGUGUAGAAAAAGCCCGAUGCUUUUGUCUUGCUGUUUAACGGAAGCUGACAUUAUACAUUCAAGAAAUUCAUCUCAUUUUCUUCCUUUCUGGUAACAUUAAAGGCAAUAUUUUUAUUUCCAGCAAUCAUACUAGUAAGCUUAAUACUUGCACAAAUAGUUUUUAAAUACCAAAUUCUGGUAAAAAAAAAUUGAUACUUUGCUAUCAGCAAUGACGAUUUGAGAUAAACUACCGCCAUUUUUUUUUUUCCUUGCGACAUUUUGGAUUUUGUCUUCUUCACUCUUUUUCUAUUUUCUAAUUUAUCUAUCUAUCCGUUCGUUCGUUCGUUCGUCCGCUUGCCUGUAUGUUUGUCUACAUUCCAUGUGUUGUGUGCGUGUGCGUGUGUUUGCUAGUUUCAGCGAAUAAAUUUUGGGAGGGUCGAAAGAUGUCUGUCCCGUUUUAACUGUUAUUGUCAUUUAAAAUAUAAUAAACACCUAAAUUUCUCUUUUAAAGGGAUUUUUAGGCACCAAAACAUAUUUCUUCUAUCAUUCGCAAUUAAGGACGGUUUCUUAGACCGAGGGCGAUGACAUUCGCUUCUAAGAUGGCGUCUGAUGUUAAGAGUUCUGUAAACCUGCGUCCUUAGUAGCGCUAUUUCUUGAACCUCACCUCAAGUGAAAUGCAAGACUUGAGUGUUGCUUUUUCCCUUUCUUUUUGUCCACACUUUUUUUUUUCAAACCUGCAUGUUUGGACACUCGUAUCCUUGCAUAAACAACACAGGGUAGGUUGCUCCUCGUUGUACAUGAUAGUUUAUUUAUGUGUUUAUGCAUCUAAACCAGCGCAAAGCAAGUCAUGUUUGCGAAUGAAAAUGGAGAUGGUUGUCAAUUGUUUAGAUAGUUUAGCAAAAAAUUAAACCUUGACUGACUGAUUAACGCAUUUCUGCUCUGCUGCUCUGCUGAUUUCACGGAAAGACGAGCUCUUCCACACACUCAAAAAAAAAAUGUUUGGCUCGGCUCAAUACAAGAUUCUACAUGCGGUCGUCUCAAGGAAGACAUUUCGUUCUCGAGAUACAGUCUCCAAAAUUCACUGGAGAGGUUGAAAACAUUACAUCCCAUACUAAGAUGGAAUCUUUGCAUUGUCAAUGUUAUAGCCAGUGAAUGAACUAGAACAAAGUAUUACCCGAGCUUUUUGUAAGGGACACGCAAUUCCUUUUAUUUCUUAUCUGUUCGUGAAUCAUAUUUUUAUAGUGUGUAUCUCGAGAACAGAAGCUAUUUGCUCGGAUUUCAUGAAGUAGAAUUUUGUACUGAGCUCAGCGCAGUCGAUAUCCCAAAGAUUUAACAGAUAGACAUAUAAGUUAACUUUGCGUUAAAACAGUAUUAUUAUUAAAAUCCACCCAUACGUUCAACGGCAGAUAUGUCUCUUAAUAUGUCUAAAUGAUUAAAUUGUUUGCCUUUUUUCAUUUUGAACAAAAUGUCCUCUUCAGUUGUUGAUUUCGUAUUAGAUUAUCUGAGGACUUCUUCUGAUUAAUGGUCAGCAAAAUUUUCUUUUCCAUAACCAAGGACUUGAAUCCUUUCUCUCGCUAAUUUUUGGAAUAAAUGUAAGGAGCACUCUGAAAAUCUUUACGUUAGGAUACGAAGACGUGUUUUUUUGAUGUAAGGAGUGAGAACACACACACACACACUCGAGACAUAUCUGAACACAUUAACAUUGCUAUGACAACCUUCCCGUUCUCUACCCACUUAACAUUAAACAUCUAAGUUAGUUGCCAUGGAAGUUCACAGAAAAUUCGCCUAUUUGCUCCUCAAUGUAUUUUUUUUUUCCUCGGCCAAACAAAAUAUUUUUUUGUCACCCACUAUACUCUCACAGUUCACUAGUUUCACCGUUGCUUGGGUUUCAGGGCAAAGUCAGUAGAGGAGGGAGUGGGGUGAAGAACCAAAUUUUGUUCUCAUACCCCUUGCGAUAAUUGUUUUUCUUUGGUCAUCUAUCUUUCAAAUCCCUUGACAUCACUUUCAUUCGUCCGCCAUUUCCCCCUCCUACGCUGGUCUCGACUGCUGCUUAUUAAGAAAUACUUGGUCUCCUUAUCACAUUAUAAAAGUUAUUAGAAAAGAAAUGCAGAAGACCCUCAGUUCUUCUAUCUCCGUUUUUGCUCAUUAGUCGACACCCACAGGACUGCCCUGGACCUCAGACUUUGUCCCUCAAUCAGUUGAUGACUGUAUGAUGUAUAAUUAUGAUCGGAUCCCGUGUGUGUACAGCAUUAGUAAGUUUUUAUUUUUGCUUUUCUCGGGACAGAAGCACAUUAUACACAGCUUUUAAAAAGCUGGGUUGCUGUCAAAAAUUAAAUGUUCUGAUUAACUGGAUUGGCUGUGUAGCUGAUGAAAGAUCACGUGAUACCGCUUCGUGGCACUGGAUGCGGCAGUGAACAGCUAGAGGCUGACUAUGUGAGCGAACUGCAGUUAGAAGAAAGAAAGCUUAUAUUGUUGUUUACGGUGCAUCUUUUUCGAUAAUGGCUGUAUCCAAAGUUAACAAUGUUUAGUACUUGCACAAUGAUGGUUUCAUAGUCCCCUUGUAAAUUUUUUUCUUUGUCACCACUUUAACCUCUCUAUGGUGCACACACACACACAUCUAUCAUAUAAUCUGAAGAUUUCGAAUGUUUUCAUUGUCCUAGAGAUUUCCCCCUAAAAACUUCCCAAUCAGAUGCUUUUUUAUUUUCAUCAUUUAUAUGUUAUCAUUAGAUGUAGCAGUCUACAGGUUACAGCAUUUCUAAAGAAUGGCAUUCUGAGGAAAGUGUAUGUGCGUGUGUGUGUGUGUGUCGGGGGGAGGUAGGGUGGUGGUCAUGGUCCACAACACAGACGAGGACUUGCAGACGACCAGCCAGCUUAUUACACGCCAGCCUUGUUUCUGUCAGCAAGAUGGCGCUGUGUGUUUAUUAACGACUUUCUUUAAUAUUUAUGUAGAGUUGUACACAUUAUCUUUUUUGUAAAGUUUCUCAUUGUUUCGAUCUGCAGGAUAUUAAAAAGAUUAAAACUGAUUUUAUAUGACCGUGUCUGCUUUUUCUUUCUCUCUCUCUCUCACUUUCUUUUUAAACCUUUCUUAUAAGGAUUAUUGCAACAGUCUCUUCGAUCCUCGACUACCAUCUCGACAAUCUAAACAGGGCUUUGGGUUCGUGCGUGCACUCUGGUGUUUGUCUUUGCUAACAAAGUCAUAAACUCUGGUCAGAUCGAUGUGUCCUCCCCCAACUCUCUUCAAUGGCAUCCCCCGUUCGUGUUCUAGAGUCCAGCAGACUCUCAGCUUCUCGCUUAAGUUCUCAGUCCCAAGGCACUGAGUAUCUA